rnacentral:snoRNA from 1 species
AUCCCAUGGUGAGGACAGGCGGCGACGUACUCCUGCAGACUCCCAAGCUUCUGGUAUGAAUUCAUCCUUCAUAUGCUGGAAGUUAGAAAUCCUCCCGCGAAGGGC